UACAUGUGGGGCAAGCGUUGUUCGGAAUUACUGGGCAUAAAGGGUGCGUAGGUGGUUUGUUAAGUCAGGGGUGAAAUCCCGCGGCCCAACCGGGGAACUGCCUUUGAUACUGGCGAACUUGAGUGCGUGAGGGGUAGGGGGAACGAGCAGUGUAGCGGUGAAAUGCGUAGAUAUUGCUCGGAAGGCCAGAGCCGAAGGGGCCCUACUGGUGCGCAACUGACACUGAGGCACGAAAGCGUGGGGAGCAAACAGG
rnacentral:rRNA from 1 species